UACGUAGGGGGCAAGCGUUGUCCGGAUUUAUUGGGCGUAAAGAGCGUGUAGGCGGCUUUACAGGUCCGUUGUGAAAACUCGAGGCUCAACCUCGAGACGCCGGUGGAAACCGUAAAGCUAGAGUCCGGCAGAGGCGAGUGGAAUUCCUGGUGUAGCGGUGGAAUGCGCAGAUAUCAGGAGGAACACCGAUAGCGAAGGCAGCUCGCUGGGACGGUACUGACGCUAAGGCGCGAAAGCGUGGGGAGCAAACAGG
rnacentral:rRNA from 1 species